UCAGGUUGAUAGGUCUGAGGUGGAAGUGUGGCGACACAUGGAGCUGACAGAUACUAAUCGAUCGAGGACUUAACCAA
rnacentral:rRNA from 1 species